GCGUCUGUAGCCUAGUUGGUAAAGGCAGCCCUCUAGUAUGAUAAUGUGUCUCAGCAUAGCUGAGGUUGUGAGUUCAACUCUCACCAGUCACA
rnacentral:tRNA from 1 species